rnacentral:tRNA from 1 species
GUCUUCAUAGUUUAAUGGAUAGAACAAAUCCCUCCUAAGGAUUAGAUGCAAGUUCGAUUCUUGCUGGGGACACCA